rnacentral:piRNA from 1 species
GGAUGGAACAUGGGACCUGACUGGGA